UGUGUUAGAGCUCAGGGUUGAGA
rnacentral:miRNA from 1 species